rnacentral:rRNA from 1 species
GACGAACGCUGGCGGCGUGCUUAACACAUGCAAGUCGAACGAUGAAGCCCUUCGGGGUGGAUUAGUGGCGAACGGGUGAGUAACACGUGGGCAAUCUGCCCUGCACUCUGGGACAAGCCCUGGAAACGGGGUCUAAUAUCGGAUAUGACCUGCUGAGGCAUCUUGGCGGGUGGAAAGCUCGGGCGGUGCAGGAUGAGCCCGCGGCCUAUCAGCUUGUUGGUGGGGUGAUGGCCUACCAAGGCGACGACGGGUAGCCGGCCUGAGAGGGCGACCGGCCAAGCUGGGACUGAGACACGGCCCAGACUCCUACGGGAGGCAGCAGUGGGGAAUAUUGCACAAUGGGCGGAAGCCUGAUGCAGCAACGCCGCGUGAGGGAUGACGGCCUUCGGGUUGUAAACCUCUUUCAGCAGGGAAGAAGCGUGAGUGACGGUACCUGCAGAAGAAGCACCGGCUAACUACGUGCCAGCAGCCGCGGUAA